CAGCUAGUUGGCAGGGUAAGAGCCUACCAAGGCAUAGAUCGGUAGCCGGCCUGAGAGGGCACACGGCCACACUGGCACUGAAACACGGGCCAGACUCCUACGGGAGGCAGCAGUGGGGAAUCUUGCACAAUGGGGGAAACCCUGAUGCAGCGACGCCGCGUGAGCGAUGAAGCCCUUCGGGGUGUAAAGCUCUUUCGGCAGGGAAGAUAAUGACGGUACCUGCAGAAGCAGCUGCGGCUAACUACGUGCCAGCAGCCGCGGUAAUACGUAGGCAGCAAGCGUUGUUCGGAGUUACUGGGCGUAAAGGGUGUGUAGGCGGUUGUUUAAGUUUGGUGUGAAAUCUCCCGGCUUAACUGGGAGGGUGCGCCGAAUACUGAAUGACUUCGAGUGCGGGAGAGGAAAGUGGAAUUCCUGGUGUAGCGGUGAAAUGCGUAGAUAUCAGGAGGAACACCGGUGGUGUAGACGGCUUUCUGGACCGUAACUGACGCUGAGACACCAAAGCGUGGGUAGCAAACAGGAUUAGAUACCCU
rnacentral:rRNA from 1 species